GCAGUGGGAACAGAAACCAUCCAAACGCAUCAUAGAUGCCAGCUGGGGUGAUGCUCACAGGAUGGGAAUUAAACCGAUCUCCUUUGUACGCCAGGUCACUGCUGCUUGCCUUUACCCUGAGCUUCUCCACAGUGGGAGGCUCCCAGUGGAUGUUCAAAUGAGGGCUCAGAGAUUCCUGAAACAGUGUGAUGGAGGGAGUGUGGGUGCAUAUACAGUACCGUGUGGUGUCGCUCAUGUGAAACGCAAUGUGUCCGAUUUUAUCUUGUGACGGGAUGGGGGGAUACCUUCUAACCCCGACAACAUCUUCAUCUGCAAUGGCUCUCAGUCAGCUCUUAUGGUGGCUGGGAUGGAGGCCGACCAAUUUUACUGCAGCAGGCUGCUGGAUGAGGAGGACAUAUGCGUCCAGCCAGGGUGUGAGUCCGGGCAGCAAGAAGGAACCCGCCACCUCAGAAUGUGUGUGCACACAACCACGGAGAACCUGGAAGAGCUGCUGAGACGUGUCCAGGUCUUCCACCACAGAUUCCUCAGCGAGUUCUCUUGACCGGGACGUCCUGUCACGAGUUUUAAAUGAAUGAAAUAAACAAAGCUGGAAUAACCAGUGUUUUCUACGCUUUUCAGUGUGGGGAAAAAAAUAAUUCUGUAAAAUCUGCAGCUUAUUGAAAAACAUUAAUAAAUACUAUUUAAUAAAUCCCAUCAUCCAUGGUGAGGCACAUGUUUUAGACACUAAUUUAAGAUGACAGCAUGGGAACAUACACCUUCAUCUUCAUACAACUUCAGCACAGACCCAGCCCUGGCUUUUCUGCUGCCCUAGGCGGCAGCCCUUGAGCCCUAU